rnacentral:rRNA from 2 species
UUAAAUUGAAGAGUUUGAUCAUGGCUCAGAUUGAACGCUGGCGGCAGGCCUAACACAUGCAAGUCGAACGGUAACAGAAAGCAGCUUGCUGCUUUGCUGACGAGUGGCGGACGGGUGAGUAAUGUCUGGGAAACUGCCUGAUGGAGGGGGAUAACUACUGGAAACGGUAGCUAAUACCGCAUAACGUCGCAAGACCAAAGAGGGGGACCUUCGGGCCUCUUGCCAUCGGAUGUGCCCAGAUGGGAUUAGCUAGUAGGUGGGGUAAAGGCUCACCUAGGCGACGAUCCCUAGCUGGUCUGAGAGGAUGACCAGCCACACUGGAACUGAGACACGGUCCAGACUCCUACGGGAGGCAGCAGUGGGGAAUAUUGCACAAUGGGCGCAAGCCUGAUGCAGCCAUGCCGCGUGUAUGAAGAAGGCCUUCGGGUUGUAAAGUACUUUCAGCGGGGAGGAAGGGAGUAAAGUUAAUACCUUUGCUCAUUGACGUUACCCGCAGAAGAAGCACCGGCUAACUCCGUGCCAGCAGCCGCGGUAAUACGGAGGGUGCAAGCGUUAAUCGGAAUUACUGGGCGUAAAGCGCACGCAGGCGGUUUGUUAAGUCAGAUGUGAAAUCCCCGGGCUCAACCUGGGAACUGCAUCUGAUACUGGCAAGCUUGAGUCUCGUAGAGGGGGGUAGAAUUCCAGGUGUAGCGGUGAAAUGCGUAGAGAUCUGGAGGAAUACCGGUGGCGAAGGCGGCCCCCUGGACGAAGACUGACGCUCAGGUGCGAAAGCGUGGGGAGCAAACAGGAUUAGAUACCCUGGUAGUCCACGCCGUAAACGAUGUCGACUUGGAGGUUGUGCCCUUGAGGCGUGGCUUCCGGAGCUAACGCGUUAAGUCGACCGCCUGGGGAGUACGGCCGCAAGGUUAAAACUCAAAUGAAUUGACGGGGGCCCGCACAAGCGGUGGAGCAUGUGGUUUAAUUCGAUGCAACGCGAAGAACCUUACCUGGUCUUGACAUCCACGGAAGUUUUCAGAGAUGAGAAUGUGCCUUCGGGAACCGUGAGACAGGUGCUGCAUGGCUGUCGUCAGCUCGUGUUGUGAAAUGUUGGGUUAAGUCCCGCAACGAGCGCAACCCUUAUCCUUUGUUGCCAGCGGUCCGGCCGGGAACUCAAAGGAGACUGCCAGUGAUAAACUGGAGGAAGGUGGGGAUGACGUCAAGUCAUCAUGGCCCUUACGACCAGGGCUACACACGUGCUACAAUGGCGCAUACAAAGAGAAGCGACCUCGCGAGAGCAAGCGGACCUCAUAAAGUGCGUCGUAGUCCGGAUUGGAGUCUGCAACUCGACUCCAUGAAGUCGGAAUCGCUAGUAAUCGUGGAUCAGAAUGCCACGGUGAAUACGUUCCCGGGCCUUGUACACACCGCCCGUCACACCAUGGGAGUGGGUUGCAAAAGAAGUAGGUAGCUUAACCUUCGGGAGGGCGCUUACCACUUUGUGAUUCAUGACUGGGGUGAAGUCGUAACAAGGUAACCGUAGGGGAACCUGCGGUUGGAUCACCUCCUUACCUUAAAGAAGC